GGAAUGGGUAUCUUCCCACCCCACUGAUAUUGGACCAGGCCAUGUGCCUUGAUUCAGCCAAUGGAAUGUGGAAUGCAAUGAGGGGGUGCAGGCUGAAGCUGGAGUGCUGUGACUCCCACUCACCCUCCUGUACUUCCGGUGUCACAAUGGGAAGACACACCCCCUAGCUUACUCCCAAGUGGCACUGCCUGAAGGAGAUCUGCCCCGGUCAUCUGGGGACCCUCAAGCCAGAGUAAACUAAUGCUGCUUUAACCUCUGAGUUUAAAUCAUCUCCGAGCAAUGUUUUGAAGCUGCAUGAUCCAGGAGCACAGGGCAAAUGAAGGAGGUGGAAAGGCUCGAGCACAUUUCAGUUCAACAAGAAUUUCCUGGGCUCCUCCUCUCCCAGCUGAUGUACUGCUCUAGGCGAACAAAGAUGUCAUUCUGCCAGGUGGGAGGAAAAGAGUUGCUUCCCCAUGGAUCUGCUUGCCAUUGAUCUCCUUUUGGGUCACUUGCAUUACCCUGCAUAUUAUACCAGCAUUGGCCUGCACCUUUCAUGUCACGUCUCCAGACACCUACGUCAUCACACAGGCUCUGGGAUUAUGAUGAUUACCAACACACCCCAGCUAAAGGGGACCAGGCAGACACCACGGUGGGCUUCAGCAAGGAGAUGAAACACAGAGAAAAUGAGUUCUACCUAAGCAAAAACACCAUGGACUUAAGUAUUAUUAUUAUUAUUAUUAUUUUUAAGAUAAAGUCUCAUUGUGUCACCCAGGCCAAAGUCCAGUAAUGUGAUCUUGGCUCAUUGCAACUUCCACCUCCUAGGCUCAAGCAAUCCUCCCACUUCAGCCUCCUGAGUAGCUGGGACCACAGGCACACAUCACGAUGCCUGCCUAAUUUUUAUAGUUUUUGUAGAGAUGGGGUUUUGACAUGUUCUUCAGGCUGGUCUUGAACUCCUAGACUCAAGGGAUCCAUCCACUUUGGCUACCAAAGUGCUGGAAUUAUAGACAUGAGCCACUGUGCCCAGACUGGUCUUAAUUUUGUAUUGAAAAUACCAGUAUGAACUGAUAAUAUGUCUUUAAAAAGAACAAACAUAUUGUAUGUUUUUUUAUACCAAUCUAGGAUAUAA